CCUGCCUCUAAAGGAGUUGCAGUUGUGGCUGCUGUGUCACAUGUGUGUCAGUAUUUGCCAAAGAAGAGAUAAGCUAUAUCUAAGUUCAGUGUUCUGACCUACAGACACCUGAAUGAUUAGUAGCCUAACAUU
ensembl:snoRNA